GCGCGUAACAGCGGUCUAAUUAAUGAAUUAUACCGCGGUCGCGGUCGUAAUCGUAGCGUACGCGGUGUGUGUGUGUGUGUGCGCGCGUUUGUUUGUGAGUGUGUGCGUACACGCCGCCACUGUCAAGAGCGAUGAUGUGUGGCCACCGUUAUCGUUAAUGACCGGGUGCCUCGGUUGCAUCAGUGGCGGUCGCGGCGGUUAAAGUAAUUAACGGGCAGACCCUCCGCAUCGACGUCGAGUCAUCAUAUUUUAUAUUUUAUAUAAUACACAAGCAUUAUUGUCUGCAGGUAUAAGUAUGUAACGCGCGCGACGACGAGGCCCGUCAUCGUUAAAACGUCAAAUAAUAAUAACAAUCAUAAAUACGAAAACUCGGUGCUGAGCGCGCGCCACUGCAGUUUUCAGUCGCCCGUCGUACAGCACUGCUGCAGCCGUUUGUGCCAAACUCAAUCAAACGCCUGGGAUACGUCCAACAACACACCUGCACAAUAUUGUUAUUUUCUUGGGAAAGAGAUGCCUGCAGACAGGAUCAAUUGGUAUUCUGUGGCAGUGAACUCACCAUGAACAACAAACAAUUUCAAAUUUUUUAAACCGAAGUAACGGCGUAAAUAUUGUAUGUUCUUUAUUUCAAUAAAAUGUUUGUAACCUAUAAAUAAUUAAACAAAUAUCGCUAUAAACAACUAGAUUCGAUAUUAAUUUAAUUUACUGUUAUUUAUAAAUAAAAUUGCUAUCAUUAUUCAUUAUCCAUUUUUGGUACGGGUUUGGUUCGAAACCAUGUUUUUGAGUUCAAUCCACCUGUAAUUUUUAACAUAUUCUGUUGUAUUAAGAUUAUUUAUAUUUUGAUAUUAUGUGUUAAUUCAACAUUUUGAGAAUACACCACACUCUAAUUUAAUGUU